rnacentral:rRNA from 1 species
GGUCUAGGCCAUACCACCUUGAAGGCACCCAAUCUGGUCUGAUCUCAGGAUCUAGCAGGUCAGGCCCGGUGAGAACUUGGAUGGGAGUAAUGAGGAGAAGGUACUUAGGACU